AGCGUCGCCUGCGACAUCUGUUGUCAGACGGGAAAACUAGUUUUACGGUUGCCUGUUCCGCCAAGGACGGUCAAUAGAAGUCCCAUUCUAAGCGUCACUUUAGUGCUUUCAACUGCCAUUGAACAGCUUUAAGCAUCGUCGUAACACUUAUCACAGGUUGGCCAGCGGCGGUAUCUACUGCCAGAAAGUGGAGUCUGGUAUUCUCUGCAGUUUUUAGGAGGCAGCAAGCUCAUCUGCUACUCCGAGGAUGGUCUCGCUGUGAAAUCUUCUUGGAGGUGAUUCCCUGUGCUGGUCGCCAGUGACUGCUGCCCUUAGUUCCAAGAAAUCAUGAGUACCGCUACGAAGGAGAUCCAAGAUUUAAUUACUAAAAAAUUGAUAGCAGAAGUAGAAAAACGGGAGGUACUGUGGAUAAAAGGACUUGGAGACGAUUCUGAAAAAACAAAAAAAGCUUGGGCCGAAGUUGCAGCGGAAAUCAGGAAAAAUUUUGUAAGCUGUAAGUGGUACGGGAAUCAGUGCAAGGCAGCAUGGAACAAGUUGGUAAAGCAUCCAGGCAGUUAUCAGUUACCUGAUAGGAUUAGAGAUGCUUUGGAGAUGUCCAGUGGUCAUAAACAUAAAUAUAAAGGACAGUCAGGCACAGAAAACUCUCGGCGUGCUAGCCAAGGUAAUUCUCCCAUAGCAAAAGGAAAGGUGACAAAAUUGUUGUCUCUAUUGCAGCCUUUUCUCACUAAUAUGUCUGUUAGUGAAUUCAAUAAAUUUGAAUCGGAAUGUUUAAUACUUGUUGGUAAGGUAAAAUCCCAUGAAGUGGGAUCUUCCUCCAGUAAAUCUUCUCCGUGAAGUCUCCUCCAAAGAAAUGAUCUCUUAAGUCCAUGUGGAUGUUACUUUGAUAGGAAGAACCAAUGAAGUGUGAUAACAACUAUGCAACGUAUAUAUGUGUAAACUUUUUUCUCUUGUGAUUUAUGUAAACUUCUCAAAUUAUUAUUGAAUAAAAAUGGAUUUUCACUCGAAAAA